rnacentral:rRNA from 1 species
UACGUAGGGUGCAAGCGUUGUCCGGAAUUAUUGGGCGUAAAGAGCUCGUAGGCGGUUUGUCGCGUCUGCUGUGAAAACCCGAGGCUCAACCUCGCGCCUGCAGUGGGUACGGGCAGACUAGAAUUCGGUAGGGGAGACUGGAAUUCCUGGUGUAGCGGUGAAAUGCGCAGAUAUCAGGAGGAAUACCGGUGGCGAAAGCGACUCGUCUGGAACGGCAACUGACGGCUGAGGCACGAAAGCGUGGGGAGCAAACAGG